rfam:Hepacivirus hominis isolate 1316-1 polyprotein gene, complete cds
CCAAUACCAGCUGCAUCCAUGCUCGACCUGUCGGGCUGGUUUAGGGCUGGUUACAGCGGGGGGGACAUAUAUCACAGCCUGUCCCGGGCCCGACCCCGCAUAUUACUCCUGUGCCUACUCCUACUGUCCGUAGGGGUAGGCAUUUUCCUGCUGCCUGCUCGGUGA